AGCUUUGCGCAGUGGCAGUAUCAUAGCCAAUGAGGUUUAUCCUAGGUGUGAUUAUUGCUAAUUGAAAACAUAAGGAUCCUCAUGAUCUUAUCAGUUCCCAAAGGCCCCACCUCCUAAUACCAUCACAUUAGGGAUUAUAUUCCAACAUAUAAAUUUUGGGGAACCCAUUCAGUU
rnacentral:snRNA from 1 species